AUGGACUAUGGCGGACAGUUUUGGGAGAUGCAGUUCGCCGACCUCCAAAUGUCCUUGUAUAUUCUUGUCUGUAAUAAAACUAAUAAACAAAAUUUAAAAAAAAUUUUAAAGGUGCCCAUCGCCCCCAUCCACCUGUCUUCUGAAGAUGGGGGUGACCGGCUCUCCACACACAAGCUGACCUCUUGGCUCGAGAAGGAGCUGAAGCAGAGCCAGAAGGAGGCCUCAGACCUUCUGGAGCAGAACUGGCUCCUGCAGGACCAGCUGAGGGUGGCCCUGGGCCAGGAGCAGAGCGCCUGUGAGGGCUACAGUUUGCAGCAAUGGAAGAAACGCACCAGAAGAAGAUUGAAGAUCUGCAGAGGCAGCACCAGUGGGAGCUAGAGAAACUUCGGGAAGAGAAAGACCGCCUCCUAGCCGAGGAGACAGCGGCCACCAUCUCAGCCAUCGAAGCCAUGAAGAACACCCACCGGGAGGAGAUGGAGCGGGAGCUGAAGAAGAGCCAGCGGUCCCAGAUCAGCAGCGUCAACUCGGAUGUUGAGGCCCUGCGGCGCCAGUACCUGGAGGAGCUGCAGUCGGUGCAGCGGGAACUGGAGGUCCUCUCAGAGCAGUACUUGCAGAAGUGCCUGGAGAAUGCCCACCUGGCCCAGGCGCUGGAGGCCGAGCGGCAGGCCCUGUGGCAGUGCCAGCGUGAGAACCAGGAGCUCAAUGCCCACAACCAGGAGCUGAACAACCGCCUGGCUGCAGAGAUUACACGGUUGCGGACGCUGCUGACUGGGGACGGCGGUGGGGAGGCCACUGGGUCACCCCUUGCACAGGGCAAGGAUGCCUAUGAACUAGAGGUCUUAUGCGGGUAAAGGAAUCGGAAAUGUAGUACCUGAAACAGGAGAUUAGCUCCCUCAAGGGUGAGCUGCAGACGGCACUGCGGGACAACAAGCACUCAAGUGACAAGUACAAAGACAUCUACACAGAACUCAGCAUCGCGAAGGCUAAGGCUGUGACAUCAGCAGGCUGAAGGAGCAGCUCAAGGCUGCAACGGAAGCGCUGGGGGAAAAGUCCCCUGACAGUGCCACGGUGUCCGGAUAUGAUAUAAUGAAAUCUAAAAGCAACCCUGACUUCUUGAAGACAGACAGAUCCUGUGUCACCCGGCAACUCAGAAACAUCAGGUCCAAGUGUACGGCACCUGUUCUACCUGGGAAUGCAAACCCUGAGCUGCAAAUAAGAACACAGACGUGGGAGACACCACAGCCUGAAGCUGCUCUCCUCUUCCCUCCUCUCCUCCAGUCCCAUAUUGGGUUACGCUGAGCCAGCAAUGUGCACGCACU